rnacentral:misc_RNA from 1 species
UCUCCGUAGGUGAACCUGCGGAGGGAUCAUUACUGAGUGAGGGUCUCCGGGCCCGACCUCCAACCCCAUGUGAACCGAAACCUGUUGCUUCGGGGGCGACCCUGCCGUUCGGCGCGGCGCCCCCGGGGUCAAUCAAACACUGCAUUCUCUGCGUCGGAGUAUUAGUAAAUCUAAUCAAAACUUUCAACAACGGAUCUCUUGGUUCUGGCAUCGAUGAAGAACGAGC